rnacentral:lncRNA from 1 species
GGCAAUGAAAAUUUUUAGGACCACUAACUAAGUUUUCAAACAAAACCUCUAAAUAUUACGGAACAGUUAGACAAAUAAAAACAAAAUCAAUAAAAUAAUAUCUCCUCACCACCUCUGGUCCUCCACCUUCGCCUCCGACAAUCUACCAACGCUGCUGCUAUUAUCGUUUUCGAUUCUUCAUCCUAAACUUCUUCUUCUUCCCCAGACAACUACCACCACAAAUGGAGUAUGUCUCGGAUGAUAGCACGAGAGUCUGCCCAUAAUAUUCGGAGGCCCUGUUCCAAAAUUUAUUGAAAUAUAUUAAAAAUAAAAAAUAAGAAAAACCCGAAAUGUCAGAUGUAAAAAAACCACAAAAACGUAAGCAAAAUCACGAACUGACACUGUUUGAAAUAAAAUACACAA